rnacentral:rRNA from 1 species
GACGAACGCUGGCGGCGUGCCUAAUACAUGCAAGUAGAACGCUGAAGGAGGAGCUUGCUCUUCUGGAUGAGUUGCGAACGGGUGAGUAACGCGUAGGUAACCUGCCUGGUAGCGGGGGAUAACUAUUGGAAACGAUAGCUAAUACCGCAUAACAGUAGAUGUUGCAUGACAUUUGCUUAAAAGGUGCAAUUGCAUCACUACCAGAUGGACCUGCGUUGUAUUAGCUAGUUGGUGGGGUAACGGCUCACCAAGGCGACGAUACAUAGCCGACCUGAGAGGGUGAUCGGCCACACUGGGACUGAGACACGGCCCAGACUCCUACGGGAGGGAGCAGUAGGGAAUCUUCGGCAAUGGACGGAAGUCUGACCGAGCAACGCCGCGUGAGUGAAGAAGGUUUUCGGAUCGUAAAGCUCUGUUGUAAGAGAAGAAAGAGUGUGAGAGUGGAAAGUUCACACUGUGACGGUAUCUUACCAGAAAGGGACGGCUAACUACGUG